CCUGUAGCUAAAACUAACCCCCCCACUUUUGACAAAAGGUGGCGCUAUAGAGUGCCUCAUUCACGCCCUUUUAAAAGCUUUUGCCAUUGUCUAGCUAUCACUAAUACUGAUAUGUGUUUUGAGUUUCAUGUAAAUCUGAGCUUGUUGUCUGCCUCAAACUCACCAUAACAGAACAUUCAAGUUUGACACGUUGCCAUGGCAACACUAUAUCAGAUAUCAAUAUCCCCACAACAGAUUUACAUCGGCCGUGUUUUGUCAUUAUUCUGAUGAAGUUUUAAGUAAAUCGAGUAAAAAUAAGAUGCUGAAUUCAAAGCAUUUGGAAAAUGACACACUUCCUGCUGCCAGUUGGUGGCGCUAUAACGUUGACUCUUAAUAGCCACAUAUAUACAAUCGGUAUCAUACAACGAACAAACCCAUGAAGUUUGAUCAAAUUCAGGAAAUGUAUGUGGAUGUUAUUAGACAUUUCCUGUUUCUCAUUUCUCGCCAUAAGUUCCAUGCCUCGCCACGGGCAAACCGUUCGAGAUAUCAAAAAUCCCCUCGCAAUUUUUCAUCCUCAAUGUCUUGAGAUCAUGUUCACCGAGUUUCGUGGCGAACGGGUUGAAAACCUCAGAGGAGUAUUUCAAAUUCCAGAGCAUGCUUUUUUUAAACAGCCCUGAAUAGCUGACUUCCUGUUGGGCGGAGCCUAUGACAUAAAGUGUGAAAGUUGUUCGGCUCAAUGAGAUCUAUAAGUGUACCGAGUUUGAUAUAAAUACAUGCAAGUGUGUGUGAGCUAUGGUUCAAGAAUUCUGACUGUCUUCCAGGGGGCGCUGUAGAGCCCCUGUGCCACGCCCGGGUCCCAGCCUCUGCGGCGUCCUGAUGGCCGCAGAUUCCAAUGUGUGUGCCAAUUUUCAAGAGUUUUUGAGCAUGUUAAGGCCCCCAAAACACCCCGGAAGGUUUAAUAAAAAAUAAAAAUAAUAAUAAUAAUUAAAGCUGCAAGCAGCGAUGGCGGGCUCAAGCCACCAAUGCCAUCGCCACCCCGGUGGCAUCAGGUAAACUGUGCCCAGCGGGCACAUGCAUUUACAAUAUCCCUCUGGCAGUGAGGUUUUAAAGGAUAUGGCAGUUAAAGGGCUAAUCCGAAUCAUCUAGACUUUAAAAUCACAUUAACACAGAACAAUCUAUAUAUAUAUAUAUAUAUAUAGAACUUUAGUAACACUUUACAAUAAGAUUCCAUUUAUAAACAUUGUGUUAACAUGAACAAUAUUUAUAUAGCAUUCAUUCAUGUCAGUUAAUAUUCCAAACUUAAACAUUAAAACAUUGUUUUAUUGUGAUUUUUUUCCAAGCACAUUUUACCAAUUCCAAACCAUAUCAAUCUUAAUAACUACCAUUAUUUUUUAUUUAAUCAUUUAUGAGUGCUAUACAAUAGUCAAGGAAAGCUGGAAGAGAAAAACAGGUCAAGAAGAACUGACAAAAGAAUUGCAAAAUAUUAGGAAUUAAUGUGAAGAUAAAUUUUUAGUCAAUUCUGCAAGACAGACUUUCAGGAAAGGAGGUGGAAUAAAAAUGAGCUCCUAAAUCUUAAUCCUGGAUUCUGGAAGAUAUAUUCCUCAAACCAUCGAACAAGAGGAGGUGGUGCUGGUCCUUCACGAGUCACUCUAAUCUGUUUAUUAAGCCUAUAUAUAAAGUCUUAAUAUAUAGUAUUUCACAAUACUUCAUGGUAUUCUAAUUAAAUCAUUUUUUGGAAUCUUAAGUCUCUCAGAACCUGACACAUUGUAAUUCUGAGACUCCAGGAAAGUGGCAGUUCUGUAAAAUGUUGGCGCUGGAGACUAAAUGCUCCCUGAUAGUUUCACACCUAAUUCACUUAACACACACACACACACACACACACACACACACACACACACACACACACACACACACGCACACACACACACUACCCACAGUGACAGAGGGACAGAGUGACAUCAGAUGUAUGAUAGUUUUUUUUAAUUUUCUAUCAUCCAUAUAGUGUUGUAUAGUCAUGAAACUAUGCAUAUUUCCUCAGAAUGACUUGUAUUCUAUGUGUAAUUUUUUUUUUUAAAGUGUUUAGAAGCUGCACUUUAAAAAAAUAAAAGACAUUUACUGGUUACUUUUUUACUGUUAUUUCAAAAAAUCACCACGACAAAACCAUUCAAGCUAUCCAAAAUUCAUUCGCACCUGUUCUGUAAGAUUAAUUCUUUAAACAGUGGUAAAAGAGGAUGUGGUGCUGAACCUUCAAGAGUCACUCAAAACGUAUCUGUCUUAUAAAGAAUUAUUCUUAAUAUACACUUCACAAUACUUCAGCUUGUUAUUCUAAUUAAGUGAGGGUCAUUUUAUCAGUAAAAUACAUAAAAUUCAUAUUAUUUUUCUUUGAAAGAUUUCUAUAAAUGAUUUAAAUCAUACUCGUUUCUACAAUAAUUAUUUAAAAGUAAUCCUAUAGCUCCCUCUGGUGGCCAUUAUUGGUACUAAGAAUUGCAAGCUUGAUUUAUAAGUUAUGAUAGUUUUAAUUUUAUGCUGGCUCUUGAAAAUGAUAAAGCUAUGAAACUUACUGUGCUUCCUUCAAAUGAUGACUUCUACGUAUAUAAAAAAUUAUGAAGAGUUGGAAUGAAAAAUUUUAAAGAUAUAGUAAAAUAACUAUUGUAUUUUUUUAUGUUACUUUAAUAAAUCGCUAUGGCCACACCAUUUAAGGUAUCCUAAACCCAUUCGCAAUUUAACAUCUUCAGUAUAUUAGCUUCAUGCUAAAAAAAUUUGGUGUGAACUACUUGUGUCUUCUUGGAAGAGUAUGAAUUCAUUUACAGGCUGAUUUUAUCAUAAAUCCACAAUAAAAUUUCUGAGUUCUGUAUC